GUAACAAGGUUUCCGUAGGUGAACCUGCGGAAGGAUCAUUACUGAGUGAGGGCCCUCUGGGUCCAACCUCCCACCCGUGUUUAUUGUACCUUGUUGCUUCGGUGCGCCCGCCUCACGGCCGCCGGGGGGCUUCUGCCCCCGGGUCCGCGCGCACCGGAGACACCAUUGAACUCUGUCUGAAGAUUGCAGUCUGAGCAUAAACUAAAUAAGUUAAAACUUUCAACAACGGAUCUCUUGGUUCCGGCAUCGAUGAAGAACGCAGCGAAAUGCGAUAACUAAUGUGAAUUGCAGAAUUCAGUGAAUCAUCGAGUCUUUGAACGCACAUUGCGCCCCCUGGUAUUCCGGGGGGCAUGCCUGUCCGAGCGUCAUUGCUGCCCUCAAGCACGGCUUGUGUGUUGGGCUCCGUCCCCCCGGGGACGGGUCCGAAAGGCAGCGGCGGCACCGAGUCCGGUCCUCGAGCGUAUGGGGCUUUGUCACCCGCUCUGUAGGCCCGGCCGGCGCCAGCCGACAACCAAUCAUCCUUUUUCAGGUGACCUCG
rnacentral:misc_RNA from 1 species